AAAAAAGAAAAAAGAAAAAAAUAUCAGCAUGCAAAAACAACCCCCCUCUCCCAAAAAAAAGCCAGCAUGCCACACAUCAGGGCAAGACCUGGACCUCCAAAAAAAAACAAAAAACAAAGAAGCCAAAAAAUAAAUCAGCAUGCAAAAAAGACAGGAUGGGGAAAAAAGCAUGCCACACAUCAGGGCAUGACCUGGAACCCCCCCCUUCCAGAAAAAAAGAAGCCAGCAUGCAAAAAAAAAGAAAAGAAAAUCAGCAUGCGAAAACAACCCCCCUCUCCCAAAAAAAAAGCCAGCAUGCCACACAUCGGGGCAAGACCUGGACCCCCCCCCUUCCCCCCAAAGAAAAAAGCAAAGAAGCCAGCAUGCAAAAAAGAAAUCAGCAUGCAAAAAAGAUGGGGGGAAAAAAAGCAUCCGACACAUCAGGGCAAGGCUGGAACAAACCCAGCACCCAUUUUAAAAAAGCCAGCAAAAAAGCCUGCAUGCAAAAAAGAAAUCAGCAUGCAAAAAAGCCAGGAUGCAAAAACAACAAAAAAAAAGUCAGCAUGCAAAUAAUAAUAAUAAAAAUAAAUAAGCAUCCCAAAAAAAAAGGCACGAUGCAAAAGCUGCGUGGGGCCCGUCAGGACAAAGGGGGCACUGUCAAGCAGCCCCACCAAAGAGCAGCCAAGACAAGCACAUACAGAGUGCCGAAAAAAGGAUCGGAGAGCCUCAGCAUGCCCCGGCAGGUCCACACCCAAAACCACCUCAGAGUGACGGACCUGUCAGAGGAGGCUCUCCCGCUUCUGCCCUGGGACACAAGCGUCAGCCUGUCCCAGGUCCUGCAAAAGCAGAAGAACAGGUACCAGGAGCUGUGGGGUCCAUCCCUCCCCAAACAGCGAUUGGCGGGCUCCUGGAUAGAGCCUCCCAGCACCUCAACUCUGGGAGAAGACAUGGCCUGGCCCAGAUUCAAAAUAAUUUUUAAAAAAGCCAGGAUAGAAAAAAAGCAUGCUUCAGGGUAAGGCCUGGGACCCCCCUCAGCCAAAAGCCAGCAUUCAUUAAAAACAAAAGCUGGCAAAAGGGCAGCAUGCAAAAUAAGAAAAAAUCCAGCACACAAAAAGAAGAAUUGCAUGUGAAAAUAAAUAAAUAAGCAUCCAAAAAAAAAAAAAAAAAGCCAGGAUGCAAAAACAACAAAAAAAGUCAGCAUGCAGAUAAUAAUAAUAAAAAUAAAUAAGCAUCCCAAAAAAAAGGCAGGAUGCAAAAGCUGCGUGGGGCCCAUCAGGACAAAGGGGGCACUGUCAAGCAGCCCCACCAAAGAGCAGCCAAGACAGGCACAUACAGAGUGCCGAAAAAGGAUCGGAGAGCCUCAGGAUGCCCCGGCAGGUCCACACCCAAAACCACCUCAGAGUGACGGACCUGUCAAAGGAGGCUCUCCCGCUUCUGCCCUGGGACACAAGCGUCAGAGAUCUUUGAGGAAGACAUGUGAUGCUCAACCAAAACCUACUCAGGAAGACAAACAAGACUAAUCACCGUCUGACAUUCAAAAAUAAAAUUGUUUUGAGAAAAAUAAAUACAUGCACAAUAAAAAUUUGUCUGGG